GACAGAGGGUGCAAACGUUGUUCGGAAUUACUGGGCGUAAAGCGCGUGUAGGCGGCUAAGUAAGUCGGGCGUGAAAUCCCACGGCUCAACCGUGGAAGUGCACUCGAAACUGCAUAGCUAGAGUCCUGGAGAGGAAGGUGGAAUGCUUGGUGUAGAGGUGAAAUUCGUAGAUAUCAAGCGGAACACCGGUGGCGAAGGCGGCCUCUGGACGAGUGACGUGACGCUGAGACGCGGACAGCGUGGGGAGCAAACAGGG
rnacentral:rRNA from 1 species